AAAUUAUAAAUUGUCUUUUUUCAAAAGGUCUCAUAAGAUCUGCGUCUCUAAACGAUUUUUAUGUAGCUGGCUGAGGGAAAAAUGGCUCUUUGGAUUGUAAAGGUUGCAGA